rnacentral:lncRNA from 8 species
AAAAGCUGCCCUUGAAACAGUCUUGAUAUGUUCUUCAAAAGAGAGAUCAGGGUCCAGAGUAACGCCGAGGUCCUUCACAGUUUUAUUUGAGACGACUGUACAACCAUCCAGAUUAAUUGUCAGAUUCAACAGAAGAUCUCUUUGUUUCUUGGGACCUAGAACAAGCAUCUCUGUUUUGUCCGAGUUUAAAAGUAGAAAGUUUGCAGCCAUCCACUUCCUUAUGUCUGAAACACAGGCUUCUAGCGAGGGAAAUUUUGGGGCUUCACCAUGUUUCAUUGAAAUGUACAGCUGUGUGUCGUCCGCAUAGCAGUGAAAUUUAACAUUAUGUUUUCGAAUGACAUCCCCAAGAGGUAAAAUAUAUAGUGAAAACAAUAGUGGUCCUAAAACGGAACCUUGAGGAACACCGAAAUUUACAAUUGAUUUGUCAGAGGACAAACCAUUCACAGAGACAAACUGAUAUCUUUCCGACAGAUAAGAUCUAAACCAGUCCAGAACUUGUCUAUGUAGACCAAUUUGGGUUUCCAAUCUCUCCAAAAGAAUGUGGUGAUCGAUAGUAUCAAAAGCGGCACUAAGAUCUAGGAGCACGAGGACAGAUGCAGAGCCUCGGUCUGAUGACAUUAAAAGGUCAUUUACCACCUUCACAAGUGCAGUCUCAGUGCUAUGAUGGGGUCUAAAACCAGACUGAAGCGUUUNNNNNNNNNNNNNNNNNNNNNNNNNNNNNNNNNNNNNNNNNNNNNNNNNNAGAGAGGAGGAGAGGCAGAGAGAGGAAAAGAGAGAGGAGGAGAGGCAGAGAGAGGAAAAGAGAGAGGAGGAGAGGCAGAGAGAGGAAAAGAGAGAGGAGGAGAGGCAGAGAGAGGAAAAGAGAGAGGAGGAGAGGCAGAGAGAGGAAAAGAGAGAGGAGGAGAGGCAGAGAGAGGAAAAUAGAGAGGAGGAGAGGCAGAGAGAGGAAAAGAGAGAGGAGGAGAGGCAGAGAGAGGAAAAGAGAGAGGAGGAGAGGCAGAGAGAGGAAAAGAGAGAGGAGGAGAGGCAGAGAGAGGAAAAGAGAGAGGAGGAGAGGCAGAGAGAGGAGGAGAGGCAGAGAGAGGAAAAGAGAGAGGAGGAGAGGCAGAGAGAGGAAAAGAGAGAGGAGGAGAGGCAGAGAGAGGAAAAGAGAGAGGAGGAGAGGCAGAGAGAGGAAAAGAGAGAGGAGGAGAGGCAGAGAGAGGAAAAGAGAGAGGAGGAGAGGCAGAGAGAGGAAAAGAGAGAGGAGGAGAGGCAGAGAGAGGAAAAGAGAGAGGAGGAGAGGCAGAGAGCCAUUGAAGAGCCAUUUAGCUUUAAUCAGAGAGAGAGAGAACAUCAUAAAGGCAAACAUAAGAGAGGAGAUGUCAGAAGAGGAAAGAAGAGAGAUCCCUGGGAAUUACAAGAUGGGUGAGACAGAGAACAGUGAAGAGGAGGAGGAGGAGGAAGAUGACAAGGAGGACCUUAUCCCACCUGAUAAAAGUAUCCGAAGGAGAGCUGUGGACUGGGUGAAUAAGAAGUGGGAGAAGAGGAACCUCAAAAAGAUGGAGAGAACGUAUCAGAGAGAGGCUGAGGAGGGCUAUAAGAUCGUCCACAUAGUUGAUACCAGAUCCACUAAGUUGAAUGUGAACUC